rnacentral:sRNA from 1 species
UCGUAAAAUCAAUUUAAGCUAAUCCAUUUUUAUUCACAUGUUUCAUUUGACAUUGAAUACAAACUAUCUAGAAUGAGUCUUCAAUGGUCACAUGCAGGUAAAAAGUCGUGCGUCAGAUAAACAUGCACAUAUUAGACUAAAUCGUAUAUUGAUAUACGAAUUGCAAACUAACUUUUAAACCGAUUGAAAUCUUUUAAACUCUUUUCGGCUACAUGUAAAGAAAAAAAAGGGGCAUGCAAAAAAUCAUGUAAUCAAAACAGUGUUUUAUGUUUUAUAUUUGUUUCAUUGAAUAUUGAAGUCCAUAUAGCAGCCUCUUAUAAUUCAAUAACCUCAAAUAAUGUAAAGAUACAUUAGUGGUCAGAAUUCUUACAACUAAAGAUACAAUUUUAUCAUUGUCUUUCUACCUAGCGGUCCAUUAUUAAUACAUUACAAAUUUCAAAUAGUCAAGAUGCACAUCAACUAAUAAUUUAAUUUAAAAACGCAAAUUAAAUACUAUGUUGACCUUUAGUGAUACAAAUUUUAUUCUAGUAGAUGAUGGACUUUAACUAUAAAUGAAACAAGUAUUAUUAGAUGGUAAUGUUUUAAAACCGGUUUGGACAAAUGUCCAUUUCUCUCUGUUGGCUAGGAAGAGUAUAUUACAUAUAUCAGUAAUUAAUUGACCAAUUAUAACAAUUUUCAUAUUGCAUAAGCCCUAUUGGAUGAACAAGUCAAGCAUUUGUGCCUGUUCAUUUGACUUUUCUUCUCUCAGUUACUUAAGAUGAGGAACAAAAUAGAUUUUUAAAAUAAUAAUCAAUGAAGUAUUACACCACUGACAAUGAUUAAAUAUCUUUAUAUUGCAUUAGUCUUAGUGGACAGUCUUGCCGAAUAGAUAUAUUACAACUAUAUUUGUAUGAAAAGGUUCAUUUAAUAUGAGAUAUUAAAUACUGUACUCGUUAGUGCAUGAAUGUAUCAAUACUCGGCUGGUGAAACUUCAUCCUCUAACGAAAUAAAAACAAUAACAU